GCUGUGGCUGCUGCUGCUGCUGCUGCUGCUGCUGCUGCUGUCGGUGCCGCCGGUGCCGCCCGCCGGUGCCGCCGUGCCCCGCCUGCGGGUCUCCGCCAACUUCGAGUGCCGGGCCAGCGCCGACAGCACGCUGAGCCCCCCCCGCUGCCGCCGGGGAGCCCCCGCUCGGUCCCCGCUGACUCCGCCGGCCCUGGCGCUGAGCACG
rnacentral:lncRNA from 1 species